GUUUUAUUUGAUACAGGUACAGCUGCUGUUGGUGUGUUUUAUUUGAUACAGGUACAGCCUCUGUUGGUGUGUUUUAUUUGAUACAGGUACAGCCGCUGUUGGUGUGUUUUAUUUGAUACAGGUACAGCCGCUGUUGGUGUGUUUUAUUUGA